rnacentral:misc_RNA from 1 species
UUCAUUGCGUAGUUAGGAUAGUUGGCGCCUCUCAGCUCGACGGGGUUGGACUCGUCUGACUGGUAUGAGAAGACGUUGGUUGGACCGCACUGAUCCUGCAGGUCGUAUCCGAAGAAGCCGAGUCUGCCCCAUGCUUCCUUGUGCAGCAGCAUGGACAGGUACCAGCCAGCCAGACCGAUCUGGGAGUGGCCGGUUGCCAGGCCAGCGCCGAUACCGGAGCAGGCAGCAAGCACGGAUGCCCUCUGAGACCCGCCGAAGUGAUCCUCAAGCAGGGUUGGGAAGGACUCGUACUGCUCAAUGCCGUACAGAGUAGCCUCUGUGGCGAUAUCCUUGGCAGUCUCGACAGUUGCGGGUGCCUUUGCAAAGCCGCCGAACUUGUCUACUGCGUAGUCAGCUGCGU